GAUGAACGCUGGCGGUAUGCCUAACACAUGCAAGUCGUACGAGAGUUUUUAACUCUAGUGGCGGACGGGUGAGUAACACGUGAGAAUUUGCCUUUAGGAGGGGGACAACAAUCGGAAACGAAUGCUAAUACCCCAUAUGCUUUCGAGUGAAAUGGAUUUUAUCCGCCUAGAGAGAAGCUCGCGGCUGAUUAGCUUGUUGGUAAGGUAAGAGCUUACCAAGGCGACGAUCAGUAUCUGGUUUGAGAGGACGAUCAGACACACUGGAACUGAGACACGGUCCAGACUCCUACGGGAGGCAGCAGUGGGGAAUUUUCCGCAAUGGGCGAAAGCCUGACGGAGCAAUACCGCGUGAGGGAAGAAUGCCUAUGGGUUGUAAACCUCUUUUUCAGGGAGGAAUAAAAUGACGUGUACCUGAAGAAUAAGCAUCGGCUAACUCCGUG
rnacentral:rRNA from 1 species